rnacentral:lncRNA from 1 species
UUUUGAAGUCUGGCUCUCCCCGAGGGAAGCUGUGCUGGGAGCCAGGAGAGACUCCAGGAAGAUAUUGCACUACUGCAAAACACAAACACGUGUAAUCAUAAAAUGCAGCCCUGGGAAAUAGAAUAUGAUCAUCUCAGACUUAACAUUGUGGACAAUGGGAGACAGAUACUGCCUCUCCCUCUGCAUGAGAAAUCUUGUGUUCCCAAGCAAGUCUGGCAGGCACUUGGGAUGAGAGAGUCCAGUUCUUCCAGAACACUCUCGGGGUGGCAAGGCAGCUCCAUGUGUUUGUUGUUUCAAGAAGAAAGAUGAUUAUGCUGGAGAUACUUUUCCCUAAACCUACCCCACUGCCACAGAGAGCAUGAGGCAGCCAAGGGGAAGCACAUGGGCUGGAGAUAAAUGCCCUCCAGUCAACUGGAGCCCCACAGGUAGAGGCAAGCAGAGCCUAGUACCCUCAUUCUCUGUUUGUCUGCAGCUAAGGGGCAAGAAUGUGAGUGGGAAG